GAUGAACGCUGGCGGCGUGCCUAAUACAUGCAAGUCGAGCGAACAGACGAGGAGCUUGCUCCUCUGACGUUAGCGGCGGACGGGUGAGUAACACGUGGAUAACCUACAUAUAAGACUGGGAUAACUUCGGGAAACCGGAGCUAAUACCGGCUAAUAUCUUGAACCGCAAGGUUCAAUAGUGAAAGACGGUUUUGCUGUCACUUAUAGAUGGAUCCGCGCCGCAGUAGCUAGUUGGUAAGGUAACGGCUUACCAAGGCGACGAUGCGUAGCCGACCUGAGAGGGUGAUCGGCCACACUGGAACUGAGACACGGUCCAGACUCCUACGGGAGGCAGCAGUAGGGAAUCUUCCGCAAUGGGCGAAAGCCUGACGGAGCAACGCCGCGUGAGUGAUGAAGGUCUUCGGAUCGUAAUACUCUGUUAUUAGGGAAGAACAAAUGUGUAAGUAACUAUGCACGGCUUGACGGUACCUAAUCAGAAAGCCACGGCUAACUACGUG
rnacentral:rRNA from 1 species